rnacentral:SRP_RNA from 1 species
GCCGAGCUCAGUCACGAGAGCUCGUCACCCAUGUGGGAGCAUUAAGGUGGUGUGGAUGUUUGGGGUGGGCUUUGGGCCUGGGCUUGUGUUGUAAUAUUGCUGGCCUGCCCAUUCCAAGUUGGUAGUGGGCUGGGGGCUGUUGCGAAAGGAUAAGUGGAAGGAUACCAGGCCGCUGCUGGGCCCGCUCUGGCUCAAAGCCCUUCCAUAACAAACCACCAUUUUU